CUAAAAGAUUGGCUACUUCUUGAAGACACUGAUGUGUUAGAUUUGGAAGGGUUUAACAAUGUUUUUGGAUGGCAUGCAUAUUUAUGGUAUGACAAAGUUAAAGCAAAUAAGGCCUUUAAGAACCAUAUUGUUAGAAAAUCACUGUUUAAUGUCUGGACAAAAUAUAAAGACUUGCUGGAAAAUAAAACACCAAGGUGGCUUUCACCUUUGGAAGCUAAGGCCCGAAAAAGACCCAAUAUGGAGGCCAAAUGGCCAAAAUAUUGGGAAAUACUAGAAAAAGAUGGAGACAAUUGGAAAUUGCAGAGUUUGGAGAAAAUGAAAGACAAAGUGCGAGAUUGGUUACAUUAUGCUCAGAUUAAAGAAGUUUUUAAAAAUGAUAAGAAACUAGGGUUCCAGGUGGAGAAAUCGAAAUUAGAAACAGAAUUGUUAGAACCAAAGACUAAGAUACUUUCAAGGAUGUAUAACUUGCUGUUGGAAUGGAAUACACAAGAUGAAAUGGUUAAAUCGGCUAUGAUAAGGUGGGCACAGGAUAUUGGGCAUAAUAUUAUGUUUGAGGACUGGGAAAGGCUGUGGAGUAAUGGAUUGAAAUUUACUGCAUGUAAUGCUUUGAAAGAAAAUGUAAUGAAAAUGAUUUAUAGAUGGUAUAUGACCCCAGUCAAACUCGCAAAAAUUUACCACCUGUCUGAUAACAAGUGCUGGAAAUGUAAAGAGUGUGAAGGAACGUUCUUUCACCUCUGGUGGACCUGCCCUAAAGUGAAGGCGUUCUGGGAAAUGAUUUAUAAUGAAUUGAAAAAGGUAUUUAAAUAUACUUUCACUAAGAAACCAGAGGCUUUCCUUUUGGGUAUUGUCAGCCAAGGGGUGGCAAAGAAGGACCAAACAUUUUUUAUGUAUGCAACAACAGCAGCAAGGAUACUACUCGCAAAACAUUGGAAAACUCAAGAUCUACCCACACUGGAAGAAUGGCAGAUGCAACUGAUAGACUAUAUGCAACUGGCUGAAAUGACUGGCAGAAUCCGUGACCUGGGAGAAGAGAGAAUCGAGGAGGAUUGGAAGAAAUUUAAGAACUACCUACAAAAACAUUGUGAUUUGACUGAAUGCUGAAUAAGAUGCUUGACUAAAUAACUGAGCACCACUUAACUUAGAAGUUUUUAAGAAAAUAAGAAAAACUGUGAAAGUUUAACUCUUUAUGAGAACUAUAAGAUCAUGAAAUAUCGAAGAGAUAUAAGAAUUUAAAUAAGAUGAUAAAUUGCUGACAAAAUGUUAUAAUGAUGAAGGUGGGAGCGGGAGAUGUGAGGAAGUCCAAAGAAAAUGUGAAAUUAUGUUAAGACGAAUGUUAUAUUGUUUAUUACAUUUAUUCCUAUUGUAAAAUCCAAUAAAUUGCUUUAAAAAAAAAAAAAAAAAAAGCAUGGGAGAAAUAACCAGAUUGAACCAGGAUGUCUCUGCAACUGCUGAGUUGGAAUAUUAAUGGUUGUAACAUUCCGGAAAAAAGGAAGAAAAUAUUUCACAUAUUAAAAAAGAACAAUUGGACAUUAUUUGUCUACAAGAAACACAUGUGACGAGGCUCCACAGAAAAGUGUUAAUAAACAAAAGAUUGGGCCAGGAAUUUGUAUCGUCGGACAAAGUCAAGAAGAGAGGCGUGGUGAUAUAUGCAAAAGAGAGCCUGUCACCUAAAUUUUUAUUCAAAGAUGAACAUGGAAGAAUUUUGGCUAUUGAGAUACAAUAUCAAGGAGAGAAACUGUUGAUAUUAGGAAUUUAUGCACCUAAUGAAGGGAAAUCGGAAUUUUACAAGAAGCUGCAGGAGACAAUGCUGGACUAUCUGGAUUACAACAACAUCAUAAUGAUGGGAGAUAUGAAUGGGGUCGUAUCAACUAACAUGGACAAGUCACAAAGUCAAAAUGUUACAAAAGACGGCAGACUACCUAAAACCUUUUUUGAAAUGACUGACAAUAUGGACCUGAUUGACAUUUGGAGGACAAAGAACCCACUAGGAAGAGAAGGAACAUUUUUUUCUGAAGCCCAACUGACCUGGACAAGAAUCGACCAAAUAUGGAUUUCUAGAGGCCUGGCACCUAAGGUCAGAAAAGUGGAAAUCUGCCCAAAGACCUGUUCCGACCAUAAUGCAGUAAAGAUGGAUAUGACACUACUACCAACUGGAUCCUUUAGAUGGAAGAUGAAUGACAAUUUGUUUAGAGAUCAGGAAAUUACCAAGAAGGCCCAAAAAGCUUUGAAGGACUAUUUUGAGAUAAAUAUGAAUACUACGGUGGAAAAAAGAAUCGUCUGGGAUGCAAGCAAAGCUGUAAUGAGGGGAUUCUUGAUACAACAGAAUGCAGUAAAGAAAAGAACACAAAAUGAGAAAAAGAUAAGAUCUUGGAUAAAAUAAAAGAAUUAGAGAAGAAAUUAAGAGUGAAUCCGAAGUCACAGCCAACUCUGAGAGAAAUUAAACUUUAUCAGACACAAUAUUCUAAAUUGAUAAAUCAGGAAAUUGAAUGGAAGGUUAAAUUAAUGAAACAAAAACGUUUGAGUCGGCGAAUAAAUGUGGAAAAUUGCUAGCUUGGCAGUUGAAGAGAAGACAAAGAUUAAAUACGGUUACAAACUUAGAAGUCGAUGGAAAAACAUUCAGAAUCCAGUGGAUAUUAGAAAGUGUUUCCAGAGAUAUUUUAAAAAACUAUACACUCAAGGGCCGCAAGACGAAGUUGAGAUUAAACAUUUUUUGCCAAAAAUGGACUAUCUAAACUGUCACAAGAAAAUAGGACAAUCCUGAAUUCUAAAAUAACACGACAGGAGAUUGAACAAGCCAUCCAGAACAUGCAACUCGGCAAAUCUCCAGGGCCAGAUGGGCUGACCUCCAAGUACUAUAAGACAUUAAAAGACUAUUUGAUACAACCUUUGAUGGAGGUCAGCAAUGAAAUUAUGGAGGGGAAGAGGGCACCGGAGUCGUGGAAGGAAGCGUUCAUCACAUUAAUACCAAAGUCGGAAGCUGAAAAGACACAACUUAAGAACUACCGUCCCAUCUCCCUUUUAAAUGUGGAUUACAAAAUAUUUGCAGACAUUUUGGCAAGUAGAUUUAAAAAAGUUUUAAAUGAAGUAAUCCAUAAGGACCAGGCCGGCUUUCUCCCAGGUAGACAUCUGUUUGCUAAUACAAGGAACAUCAUUGACAUUUUGGAACUUUUGCAAACAGAUAUAAAUACAAAAGCAGUUUUAAUUUUUAUAGAUGCGGAGAAGGCCUUUGACAAUAUCUCCUGGAAAUUUAUGAAGGGAAAUUUAAAAGAGAUGGGAGUGGGACGGGGUUUUGAGAAUGGGAUUGAGGCGAUAUAUUCAGAACAGAAAGCUAAAUUGAUAGUUAAUAAUGUGGUUACAGAAGAGUUCAAAAUUGAAAAAGGGACACGACAAGGUUGCCCUAUUUCCCCUUUGUUAUUUAUCUCGGUUCUGGAAGUGCUAUUGAACAUGAUUAGAGGGGAUCGGUUGGUGGAAGGAAUUCAGGUCGGUCAGAAACAAUAUAAAUUAAAAGCUUUUGCAGAUGACCUGGUUUUGACCCUGCAGAAGCCAGAGCCCAGUACGAAAAGAGUAUUACAACUGAUAAAUGACUUUGGUCGGGUGGCUGGAUUUAAAUUAAAUAAACAGAAAACUAAGGUUUUGGGGAAAAAUUUGACAGAUACAGAGUCAGAACGGUUUCAGAAUGAGACGGAACUUAAUGUGGUUAAAAAGUAAAAUACCUAGGGGUAAACAUAACAGUAAAAAAUCUAAGUCUAUUUAAGGAUAACUAUGAAAAAUGCUGGUCAGAAAUUAAGAGAGACUUAGAUAGUUGGUCAAAACUGAAACUUUCUUUGUUAGGCCGAAUUGCUGCUAUUAAGAUGAAUGUAUUGCCAAGGAUGUUGUUUUUAUUUCAAACACUUCAGGUUUUGGACAAAACGGAGUGCUUUCAGAAGUGGCAGAGAGACAUUUCUAAGUUUGUCUGGCAGGGCAAAAAGCCCAGAAUUAAGUUUAAGAUAUUAACUGAUGCAAAACAAAGAGGGGGCUUUGCCCUGCCAGACUUAAAGUUGUAUUAUGAAGCCGCAGCGUUCUGCUGGCUAAAAGACUGGCUACUUCUUGAGGACACUGAUGUGUUGGAUCUGGAAGGGUUUAACAAUGCCUUUGGAUGGCAUGCAUAUUUAUGGUAUGACAAGGUUAAAGCAAAUAAGGCCUUUAAGAACCAUAUUGUCAGAAAAUCAUUGUUUAAUGUCUGGAUAAAAUAUAAAGACUUGCUGGAAAAUAAAACACCAAGGUGGCUUUCACCUCUGGAAGCUAAGGCCCGAAAAAGACCCAAUAUGGAGGCUAGAUGGCCAAAAUAUUGGGAAAUACUAGAAAAGGAUGGAGACAAUUGGAAAUUGCAGAGUUUGGAGAAAAUGAAAGACAAAGUGCGAGAUUGGUUACACUACGCUCAGAUUAAAGAAGUUUUUAAAAAUGAUAAGAAAUUAGGGUUCCAGGUGGAGAAAUCGAAACUAGAAACAGAAUUGUUAGAACCAAAGAUUAAGGUACUUUCAAGGAUGUAUAACUUGCUGUUGGAAUGGAAUACACAAGAUGAAACGGUUAAAUCGGCUAUGAUAAGGUGGGCACAGGACAUUGGGUAUAAUAUUAUGUUUGAGGACUGGGUAAGGUUGUGGAGUAAUGGAUUGAAAUUCACUGCAUGUAACGCUUUGAAAGAAAAUGUAAUGAAAAUGAUUUAUAGAUGGUAUAUGACCCCAGUCAAACUUGCAAAAAUUUACCACCUGUCUGAUAAUAAGUGUUGGAAAUGUAAAGAGUGUGAGGG